CAUGAAUGACUAAAGUGACAAAAUUGCUUAAGGAAGGACAACUAAGCUUCAUCUUAUCUUACAGUUUUCAAGAACUUAAAAAAUAUUUAUCAUAAAUGGAAAGCGUUGUUUGGCCAUAGACCAACAUGAUGUUUAGAAACAGCUUUCAAAAGACACCGUGAGAGAACUGGCUAAUAUAUCUGGCAUGCCCUCGACUUCUCAAAUAUAAAGUAAACCAGAUAGAAGACGGAGAUUGAAAGUCAAGCUCGUAAAAUAAACAUUCUAAAACAUGAAUUCAACCCAUCGAAUGGUUGCCAAACCAGAUACAAGAUUAUUGAGCGAGUUAUAGUGGAUGCUGAAACACUUUGUAAAAUGAAACAAACUAAGAAGACAGUACCAUUUUAAUUCCUUAUAUGAGAGGAGACAACAAUACCGUUUCGAACUUAUUACUAUUUCGUCACCACAGAGUUGAUCUCAAAGAAAAGGAAAUGUUAUAAAGAAGAACUGUUGACCAAAUUGUUAACUUCAACCGCUAAGAAUUUUUGGCGAUGUGGGCGUAUGAUUCUAAGGCUCAUGAUGGUAAGUCAAAUAAUAAUUCAUAUUUUAAAACAGUGAUCGUAUGUAUCCUGUGAUUGGCUUCAAACCUUCCUUUGGUUGAAGAUAAUGUCUGUUGCAUGUAGUUUAGAAUACGUCGUUACGCUGCAUACAAACGCUCUGAACACGUACACUCAAAAUGCGCUCAACAUUGUUUUGCGUUUGUUGAAUGAUAUUUAAACGAUGCGCGCAAUCGCUGAAAGCAUGCUCAUCCUUAAAUGAUAACGUGUAGGAUCAUGGGAUACAAUGUUGAAGCCUAGCAACUGCAUGUAUAUAUAUAUAUACACCUACAUAUACGGUUCAGUGACCAGGUAAAUUACUACAAUAUACGCUGUAAACAGCGCAAAUUUAUCUCGACAUUGUUGAGUGUUCUGUUCAAACGCUCUAAACAGUGUUAAGAUACGGUUUGGUGACCACACAGUGAGAACUCAAUAGUUGAACGACUAUUUUUAAUGGUUGCCACUAUUGCAAUUUGGUCAUAACAACCAUAUGAAAAAUUGGUCAUUUAGAAAUUGCCAAUUACGAUGGUCAAUACAACCAUAUGCAAAACUGGUCACUUAGAAAUGACAAAUAAAGAUGGUUCAAACAAACAUUUUUAACGGUUGUAACAAACAUGCAAUUUCGUCAUAACCAUCGUGUUGAAAAUUGGUCAAUUAGUAAUGACUAAAUAAGAUUUUAAUUGAGCAAUAAACAAUAGGUCACCUU